UACGUAGGGUGCGAGCGUUAAUCGGAAUUACUGGGCGUAAAGCGUGCGCAGGCGGUUUUGUAAGCCAGAUGUGAAAGCCCCGGGCUUAACCUGGGAAUGGCAUUUGGGACUGCAAGGCUUGAGUGCGGCAGAGGAGACUGGAAUUCCUGGUGUAGCAGUGAAAUGCGUAGAUAUCAGGAGGAAUACCGAUGGCGAAGGCAGGUCUCUGGGCUGACACUGACGCUCAGGCACGAAAGUGUGGGUAGCAAACAGG
rnacentral:rRNA from 1 species